CACACAGUAGAUCAAGUUUGUUUAUCCCCUAUAUUUAAAGAUAUUUUCAGGAUCUUGAGGCAAGAGACCCAGAAAAAUAACAGGAUCACAUUUCUCAAGGAAGAAUUGUGAAUAUAACAUUGCUGAAUGGGUCAGUAACAUAUUGGCCACAUUUGAUAGAAUGAGCAGAACUAGAAAUUACUUUAUAAAUGCAGAAGUAAAAUGUCAAUUUAUUAAGAAAACUGGAGCUACAAAAGCAAGGAAACAUGAAAACAUAUGGUCAACACAAUGGAAGCUUCACUCCAGGCAAUUACAGCCAAGAAAAUAGAUCUCCCUUAUCUUGCUCUUGGUCAAGGGAUGCAACAUUUCUCAUUCUGCACAGCUGUUUGUUGAAGACCAAUAUAUCCAGGUGAAUGAGGCUGAGAAGUCUGGGAGCUCCUGUUCUCCACCCAGCAUUUAAAAUAAAAAUCUACUUCAGGCAUGGCAGACUGAGAAUACUGAUACCUGAUCACCUUUACCCAAACUUGCCAGAAGGUUGAAGUUUCCAUGUUAGGAGAGGUAAGCUAAGAACAGACUACCAUUUUCAUCCAACUCCCAUCUCAUAAGGAAGGAAUAUUACUCCAAGAGAGAUUGAUUACUUCUGAGUUCUAGAGAAGUAGCUCAGAUACUAUGACCUUAAAAGGAGGCAGGCCAUAUAGCGGAGAGAUCCAAAGUUCCCCUCAAAGGAAUUGACUUUCUUUAUAACAGUAUGUGAAGUGGUUUAAGUCAAAGGACACUCUUAAAAACAAUGGAGAUAUGGUGGUACCUUAUUUAGAGAAGAAUGAUACUGUCCUCAGAACAAUAAGCUAAUCCAUAUACCAGGAAGUUUACGAAGAAAACCCAAGAUAAGUGAGAGCUAAAAGGAGAUCUCUUGGAGUCAGACAACCUUCAAAAUAUAACCUCAAAACUACCCAGGCAAAGAGACCCAGAUUUAGUUGUAUCAGACUGUGAAGCAAAUUAUGCUUCAGAUUGUACAGUUAAGGCAACUGUCUGAAGAUAAGUGAAAUCUAAGAAAUUGGUAUGAUAGCAAGAGAGAUGAGGGAAAGCUACGGUGAGAGAGAGUCUUGCUAAAACCACUGUCAUCCCAUGGUCACUGUGGAUAUGCCUAGGGCUGUGUGACCUCUAAGCAGCAACAUCAGAACCUUCACACUGUAGGGGAAAUCCAUUACUAAAACAGUCCAGCUGAGUCAUCAAACAAGUAAACAAGCAACAAACAAUAGCAGCAACAAUAUAAGCUCCAUAAAUAAAGGGUGGAAAAUAUUCAGAGUUACUAAAAUAUUUCCUCUAAAAUGUCCAAUUUCAACAAAAAUUUAUGGAUCUGAAUUUUUUUUAAUGUGACAAAUCACAUGGGAAAAGAAUCAGACAACAGAAAUUGCCUGCAAGAAUACCAAGAUACCAGAAUUAUGAGACAAAUGGUUCAAUGCAGCCAUUAUAAAUAUCUUCAAAGAAACUAUGAAACCCUGCUCAGAAAAGUAAAGAAGAUAUUAUGGCAAUUCAUCAAUAGAGAAUAUUACUAAAAAAUAGAAAUUAUAAAUAAAUAAUCAAAUGGAAAUUCUGGAAUUGAAAUAUUCAAUAACUGAAAUGAAAAAUUCACUAAAGGGACACAACAAAUUUGAACUGGCAGAAGAAAGAAUCAAUUAACUUACAAAUAGAUGUAGCCAGAUUAUGCAAUCUCAACGACCAAUAAAAAAAAGAAUGAAUAAAAAUAAGAAGAGCUUCAGAAGAAUGCAGGACAACACAGCAACUAACAUAUAAUGAAAGUACAAGAGGGGAGGAAUGAAAGAAAAAAAUCUAUUGAAAGAAAAACUGUCAGAAAACUUUUCAACAUUUCUGAAAGACAUUAACAUACACAUCCAAGAAGCUAAAUGAAGCCCAAAUGGGAUAAAUAUAAAGAGAUCCACAAAUCAUGUCAAAAAUGUUGAAAAAAAUCGAAAAAACAACUAUGGAAAAGGCCAAGAAAAAGUAACUUGUCAUGUACUAGAAAAUUCCAGGAAGAAGGAACAGUUAGUUUAACAUCAAAAACAAAUGUAAUAUAUCAUAUCAAUUGAAUCUAGGGGAAAAAACACAAGAUUUUUUAAAUACAUGCAGAAAAAGCAUUUGCAAAAAUCCAGUACCCUGCAUGAUAAAAAUUUUUAAAAAACUAGGAAUAAAAGGGAAAUUCUUCAAUGUGAUGAAGGGAAUCUAUGAAAAACUCACACUUAAUAUCAUACUUAUUAGAAAGAAUCAAUGCUUUUUCCUUAAGACAUGACAAGAAUGUCUGUUCUUGCUGCUUCUAUUCAAUGUUAUACUGGUUGAAUACUCAAGGUUCUAGCCAAGACUGUUAGGAAAGAAAAUGAAAUAGAAGGCAUUCCAAUUAGAAAGGAAGAAGUUAAAUUAUCUCAAUUUGCAUAUCACAUGCUCUUAUAUAAAUUCUUAAGGAUUCCACUGAAACCUAUUGAACUAAUAAAGAAGUUCAACAUGGCUGAAAUGUACAAAAUUAUUAUAGGAAAUAAUUAUUUUUCUAUAGGAAAGCAAUGAACAAUUCAAAACUGAAACUAAGAUGACUUCAUUUACAAUUGCAUCUAGAAGAAUACAAUAAUUCGCAAUUUCAAAAUUUAGUUUGAAGCUAUAGAAUUAAGACAUUAUGGUACUAAUAUCACAAGUAAACCCUUACAUUCAUGCUCAAUUGAUUUUUAACAAGUGUGACAAGACAAUUCAAUGGAGAAAAACAGUAUUUUCCACACCUAGAGCUGGAACAACUAGAUAUCCAGAGACAAAGGUGUAGGGAGACCCCCUGAAACUAUUGCUACAGAAUAAAAGAUGAAAUGCUCCUGAUUAUUGUAAAUACAAAAUUGCAUGCAGGAUUGUGUAAAGACAAUGCCAGGUUGGACUGCCAGACGAGCCAACAGUGUGUGAUGUGCUUCCCCCUGCAGAGAGCCUAUGAAUGAACAUGCAGUCAGGGAGGUUUCCCAUCACCAAGAUUCCUAUCACAGAAAAGCAGAUGUUCAUAGCUCUGGGAAUGGAAUGCGACCCUUGUGGAGAGCCUAUAAACGGAUGUAUGGGGGGAGCCUGUCCUUACAGAUAAGAUAGGGCUAUAAAUGCCCUCGUCUUGCCACGGCUCUUCUAGGCCACUUUAGGGUUAAGGCAUACUCCCUUCUGAGAAUUUCUGGUCUAAACGGUUGUCUAGCUUCAUGUCCUGUUUCUGUGGAUUGUUCGUAACCAGCUUUUGCUGCAACUGUUACUGCUGAUUAAUAUCUUGCUAAUCAUAGGUUAUGGAAAGACUGUGUUUCUGUUUUAAGGCUCUGUUAGAAAUUACUAAUGCACACACUAUAUUGUAAAUUCUUAUCUCUGUAUACUGUACGUCUGCAUACAAAUGUUAUGUUAAAGAAUUACUUCAUCCCCAUGUGACUGUCUCACCUCAUAAUCAAAUGACCCUAAAUCCCUCACUAACCUACCCCUGCCCUCACUAAACUUGAUAAUAAAUGCUGAUAUAUCCA
rnacentral:lncRNA from 1 species